rnacentral:ncRNA from 1 species
AAAGUGAAAGUCACCAAAGCACCAACUGGGUUCUUUCUUGACCAUUUCACUUGAGUGAGAUAAGGGAGAGUGGAAUUUCAUGUGGAGGGAUCAAAUCCUAAUAUAUACAAAGGAACACCAACUCCGAAGGUAGCUCUCUGGGUCCCCACUGACGCUGGGGUGCAAAAGCAUGGGGAGAAAACAUGAUUAGAUACCCUAGUAGUCUAUGUCGUAAGCGAUGAGUGUUAAUCCUUGGUCUUCCUUCCUACUAGGUAGGAUUAGGAUCAGGGGCCCAACUAACAUGUGAAACACUCCAUCUGGGGAGUAUAGUCACAAGACUGAAACUCAAAGGAAUUGACGGGGGCCUGCACAAGUGGUGGAGCAUGUGGUUUAAUUCAAUAAAAUGCAUAGAACCUUACCAGCCCUUGACAUAUGAACAAUUGUGCCUGUCCCUAAUGGGAUGGUGUGAAAAAUCAUACAGGUGUUGCAUGGCUAUCGUCAGCUCAUGUCGUGAGAUGUUUGAUUAAGUCUUAUAAUGAGAAAAACCCUUGUUUUUUGUUGCUGAGACAUGUGCCAAUGGAUCAAUGUCAUCGCCCCUUAUCAAUGAAUUAAUAGGGCAAGGUAAGUGCCUCUUUUUUAUUGAUGACACUCCUAUGAAGGAAGGUGCAUGCUGAACUCACAAGAGACUGCCAGUGAUAUGUUGGAGGAAGGUGGGGAUGAUGUCAAGUCUGCAUGGCCCUUAUGGGUUGGGCCACACACAUGCCACAAUGGAAAUGACAAUGGGAAGCAAGGUCAUAAGGAAGAGUGAAUCGGGAAAGAUUGCCUCAGUUCAAAUUGUUUUCUGCAAAUUGAGAACAUGAAGUUGGAAUCUCUAGUAUUCGUAGAUCAGCAUGCCAUGGUGAAUAUGUACCUGAUCCCUGUACACACCAUCCAUCACACCCUAGGAGUUGAUUUCACCCGAAGCAUUAGACCAAUGAUCACCCUAUCUAUAUAUGUUCCACUAGUGUAUCCCACGAAGGUUGGGAUGAUAUUAUUGGGGCAUACCAUGGUGGGGUCUUGGACUGGGGUGAAGUCAUAACAAGGUAGUCAUAGGGGAACUUGUGGCUAGAUAGAAUCCCUU